rnacentral:rRNA from 1 species
GACGAACGCUGGCGGCGUGCUUAACACAUGCAAGUCGAACGGAAAGGCCCUGCUUUUGUGGGGUGCUCGAGUGGCGAACGGGUGAGUAACACGUGAGUAACCUGCCCUUGACUUUGGGAUAACUUCAGGAAACUGGGGCUAAUACCGGAUAGGAGCUCCUGCUGCAUGGUGGGGGUUGGAAAGUUUCGGCGGUUGGGGAUGGACUCGCGGCUUAUCAGCUUGUUGGUUGGGUAGUGGCUUACCAAGGCUUUGACGGGUAGCCGGCCUGCGAGGGUGACCGGCCACAUUGGGACUGAGAUACGGCCCAGACUCCUACGGGAGGCAGCAGUGGAGAAUAUUGCACAAUGGGCGGAAGCCUGAUGCAGCAACGCCGCGUGCGGGAUGACGGCCUUCGGGUUGUAAACCGCUUUCGCCUGUGACGAAGCGUGAGUGACGGUAAUGGGUAAAGAAGCACCGGCUAACUACGUG